rnacentral:rRNA from 1 species
GGUUGCGAUCAUACCAGCACUAAUGCACCGGAUUCCAUCAGAACUCCGCAGUUAAGCGUGCUUGGGCGAGAGUAGUACUAGGAUGGGUGACCCCCUGGGAAGUCCUCGUGUUGCAACCCC